rnacentral:rRNA from 1 species
GUCCCUGCCCUUUGUACACACCGCCCGUCGCUACUACCGAUUGAAUGGCUCAGUGAGGCGUCCGGACUGGCCCAGAGAGGUGGGCAACUACCACUCAGGGCCGGAAAGCUCUCCAAACUCGGUCAUUUAGAGGAAGUAAAAGUCGUAACAAGGUCUCCGUUGGUGAACCAGCGGAGGGAUCA